rnacentral:lncRNA from 1 species
AAGGAGAAAUCCAGAGUGAAAUGAAAUAACGGUUUGGGGAGCAGAUGGUGCAAUAUCUCAUUCUUAAAAGGACAAUGCCAACUCCUGAAGAUCUUGCUCUAAGUGGUCAAAGGGUGAGCAUACUGCAGGCAACAAAAGAUCGAGCAUACUACAGGCAACCAAGGGUCAAGACAAAUUUACAGGAUCCCUCCCUACCGUGGCCACUACCCAGCUUCCCAGUAGUGCCUUCCUAAUUUGCUGCCCAUGGUAAUGGAGACAAAUACCUGCAGAAGAACAUAAUCAAAACUCAAAGGAAAGUAAGGAGGAGCAAGUUUUUUAAAAGGAAUACAGUUUGCAAUCCUCUUGUUACUAAUUCUUGUUGAUAAUUGAUUUUGUGCUUAAAUCUCACAAGAAUAAACAGUUUUUAGCAAUGCUUUAAAUUCUUAGCGUUUUCG